AUCCAUUGCAGUCAAGUUCCAACGCUGAUCCAGGACAAGGAGUCUCACAUCAGUUAAAUGCCGGUUUCCUUCAUAACCGAUUUCUGCAGCAGCAACAGCAAUUGAGACUGAUGUUCCUCCAGAGUCAACAGCGACAGCUGCAGGAACAGUUGAUGCAGAAGAAUCAGAUUUUUCAACAAAGACAACAGCAAGAGAUACAGCACCUGCUUCGAAAGUUGGAGCCCGAGCUUCCCCAAGUCAAUGUUGUUAAUGACAUGAACACGAGUGCUUUGUUAUCAUCACAGAGUGAGAGUAACAUGCUGCA
rnacentral:lncRNA from 1 species